rnacentral:lncRNA from 1 species
UCUCCAAAUUUUCAGGGAGACUUAUUUGAGUAAUAAAACCCUGGUCUGUCAUUCAGUGGGCUCUGUGUGAAUCAAACCCUUUCUCUAUUACAAUUCCCCUGCCUUGAUAAAUUGGCUUUAUCUGGGCAGCAGGCAAGGAGAACCUACUGGGGAGUCAUAGGGGAAGAAAUGGGAGCUGGAAGGUAUGGAGUCAAAAUGGAGAGAAGUGCCUUAGGCAAGUCCUCUACUAAGGUCUGGGAGGAGGUGCCUGGGAAGUGAUGAAGACCCCUUGGGCCUAAUAAAAAUGCCUCCAUGAAAGAGCAUGGCUAGUCCUGGGAAGCCUGAUUCCUUGACUGCAGUUCCCUCCAGAAAACUACAAUAGAUUGGCAAUGCAACAAGUCUGGUGUGGGAGGGCAACUUCCCCCUAGGAGGCCUCUCCCCCCUUGCCUGUGGUUUAGACUGAAAGAUCACACAUAGAAUUUGGGAGUUGAGCUGGACCCCUUACAGGGAAACUGCUAGCAUUCAAGAGUUUAAUUAUAUGGGUAUUGUAGAAAAAUGCCAGUGAUAAUCUCAGGUGCCUGUAGCACCAAACUGGAAGGCAGGCAAGAAAACACCAGAAGGUAGAAAAACCUCACAUUUGCCUUCGGCCAAAGCCGAUAUGUGUGGCCACUGCUGCUUAUGAGGAAUGAUGGUUUCUGCUUCUUUUUGGCCUACCACAUAUUGCAUAAAACUUUGGUCACUGAUCAUGUAUGGUCUCACAUUUGGUUAUAUAAGCUACUCAGUGUGCCAAGUACAGGACAAGACAGUUGUUCCACUGUCAUUGGAAUCUAUUUUUCUCACUUUUUUCAAAAUUGAUUUGUCAAAGUGCAUCAAGAACCUUAAACUGUUAUUUUCUUUUGCUCCCUAAUUCUAUCUUUAGAAACGCAUUCUAAAUAAAAAGUUAGAGUUGCUGGUCAGUAAUAAUCUAAAUAACCACCAGUAAGGGAAAGUUAAAGAUGAAUAAUGGAAUGUUUCUUCUAAGAAGAGGAAUAAUAUGGAGCCAUGAAAAAUUAGACACUGGAAAUCAAUUCUGUGACAUUACCUAAGUGCAUUUUAUAAUAUUAAGGGGUAUUUUGUAAGAUAACAUGAACAUUAUUCCUGUUAUAUGCAUAAAAAUGAGAUUGGGAAGAAAAGCACCAAAAAGUUGGUCACCAUUUUUCUGUGUGAUGGUAUUGUGGGU